rnacentral:rRNA from 1 species
UACGUAGGGUGCAAGCGUUGUCCGGAAUUAUUGGGCGUAAAGAGCUCGUAGGCGGCUUGUCGCGUCGGCUGUGAAAACCCGGGGCUCAACCCAGGGCCUGCAGUCGAUACGGGCAGGCUAGAGUCCGGUAGGGGAGACUGGAAUUCCUGGUGUAGCGGUGAAAUGCGCAGAUAUCAGGAGGAACACCGGUGGCGAAGGCGGGUCUCUGGGCCGGAACUGACGCUAAGGAGCGAAAGCGUGGGGAGCGAACAGG